UACGGAGGGUGCAAGCGUUAUCCGGAUUCACUGGGUUUAAAGGGUGCGUAGGUGGCUUUGUAAGUCAGUGGUGAAAUACCGCAGCUCAACUGCGGAACUGCCAUUGAUACUGCUUAGCUUGAAUCAGGUCGAGGUGGAUGGAAUAUUACAUGUAGCGGUGAAAUGCUUAGAUAUGUAAUAGAACACCGAUUGCGAAGGCAGUUCACUAGGCCUGAAUUGACACUGAGGCACGAAAGCGUGGGGAUCAAACAGG
rnacentral:rRNA from 2 species